rnacentral:rRNA from 1 species
UACGUAGGUGGCAAGCGUUAUCCGGAAUUAUUGGGCGUAAAGAGCGCGCAGGUGGUUGAUUAAGUCUUAUGUGAAAGCCCACGGCUUAACCGUGGAGGGUCAUUGGAAACUGGUCGACUUGAGUGCAGAAGAGGGAAGUGGAAUUCCAUGUGUAGCGGUGAAAUGCGUAGAGAUAUGGAGGAACACCAGUGGCGAAGGCGGCUUCCUGGUCUGUAACUGACACUGAGGCGCGAAAGCGUGGGGAGCAAACAGGAUUAGAUACCCU